AAUAGAUACCCCGGUAGUCCACGCCGUAAACGAUGAAUACUAGGUGUGGGGGUUGUCAUGACCUCCGUGCCGCUGCUAACGCAUUAAGUAUUCCGCCUGGGGAGUACGGUCGCAAGAUUAAAACUCAAAGGAAUUGACGGGGGCCCGCACAAGCAGCGGAGCAUGUGGUUUAAUUCGAAGCAACGCGAAGAACCUUACCUAGACUUGACAUCUCCUGAAUUACUCUGUAAUGGAGGAAGCCCUUCGGGGCAGGAAGACAGGUGGUGCAUGGUUGUCGUCAGCUCGUGUCGUGAGAUGUUGGGUUAAGUCCCGCAACGAGCGCAACCCUUAUUGUUAGUUGCUAUCAUUUAGUUGAGCACUCUAGCGAGACUGCCCGGGUUAACCGGGAGGAAGGUGGGGAUGACGUCAAAUCAUCAUGCCCCUUAUGUCUAGGGCUACACACGUGCUACAAUGGCUGGUACAGAGAGAUGCAAUACCGCGAGGUGGAGCCAAACUUCAAAACCAGUCUCAGUUCGGAUUGUAGGCUGAAACUCG
rnacentral:rRNA from 1 species